rnacentral:rRNA from 1 species
UACGGGGGGGGCAAGCGUUGUUCGGAAUUACUGGGCGUAAAGGGCUCGUAGGCGGCCAACUAAGUCAUACGUGAAAUCCCUCGGCUUAACCGGGGAACUGCGUCUGAUACUGGAUGGCUUGAGUUCGGGAGAGGGAUGCGGAAUUCCAGGUGUAGCGGUGAAAUGCGUAGAUAUCUGGAGGAACACCUGAGGCGAAGGCGGGUUGCUAGGCUGAUACUGACGCUGAGGCGCGAAAGCUAGGGUAGCAAACGGG